CAGCCGCCGCGGGAAUACGAAGGGGGCUAGCGUUGCUCGGAAUUACUGGGCGUAAAGGGCGCGUAGGCGGCGCUCCAAGUUAGGCGUGAAAUUCCCGGGCUCAACCUGGGGACUGCGCUUAAGACUGGAGUGCUUGAGGAUGGAAGAGGGUUGUGGAAUUCCCAGUGUAGAGGUGAAAUUCGUAGAUAUUGGGAAGAACACCGGUGGCGAAGGCGGCAACCUGGUCCAUUACUGACGCUGAGGCGCGAUAGCGUGGGGAGCAAACAGGAUUAGAUACCCCCGUAGUCCCUGUCUCUUAUAC
rnacentral:rRNA from 1 species